CAGUAGCCGCGGGAAUACGUAGGGAGCAAGCGUUGUUCGGAUUUACUGGGCGUAAAGGGCGCGUAGGCGGCGCGGUAAGUCACUUGUGAAAUCUCUGAGCUUAACUCAGAACGGCCAAGUGAUACUGCUGUGCUAGAGUGCGGAAGAGGCAACCGGAAUUCUUGGUGUAGCGGUGAAAUGCGUAGAUAUCAAGAGGAACACCUGAGGCGAAGGCGGGUUGCUGGGCCGACACUGACGCUGAUACGCGAAAGCCAGGGGAGCAAACGGGAUUAGAUACCCGUGUAGUCCCUGUCUCUUAUAC
rnacentral:rRNA from 1 species